rnacentral:rRNA from 1 species
GACGAACGCUGGCGGCGUGCCUAAUACAUGCAAGUUGAGCGAUGAAGAUUGGUGCUUGCACCAAUUUGAAGAGCAGCGAACGGGUGAGUAACGCGUGGGGAAUCUGCCUUUGAGCGGGGGACAACAUUUGGAAACGAAUGCUAAUACCGCAUAACAACUUUAAACAUAAGUUUUAAGUUUGAAAGAUGCAAUUGCAUCACUCAAAGAUGAUCCCGCGUUGUAUUAGCUAGUUGGUGAGGUAAAGGCUCACCAAGGCGAUGAUACAUAGCCGACCUGAGAGGGUGAUCGGCCACAUUGGGACUGAGACACGGCCCAAACUCCUACGGGAGGCAGCAGUAGGGAAUCUUCGGCAAUAGACGAAAGUCUGACCGAGCAACGCCGCGGGAGUGAAGAAGGUUUUCGGAUCGGAAAACUCUGUUGGUAGAGAAGAACGUUGGUGAGAGUGGAAAGCUCAUCAAGUGACGGUAACUACCCAGAAAGGGACGGCUAACUACGUG